rnacentral:rRNA from 1 species
UGGGGAAUAUUGGACAAUGGGCGAAAGCCUGAUCCAGCCAUGCCGCGUGUGUGAAGAAGGUCUUCGGAUUGUAAAGCACUUUAAGUUGGGAGGAAGGGCAGUAAGCGAAUACCUUGCUGUUUUGACGUUACCGACAGAAUAAGCACUGGCUAACUCUGUGUCAGCAGCCGCGGUAAUACAGAGGGUGCAAGCGUUAAUCGGAAUUACUGGGCGUAAAGCGCGCGUAGGUGGUUCGUUAAGUUGAAUGUGAAAGCCCCGGGCUCAACCUGGGAACUGCAUCCAAAACUGGCGAGCUAGAGUAGGGCAGAGGGUGGUGGAAUUUCCUGUGUAGCGGUGAAAUGCGUAGAUAUAAGAAGGAACACCAGUGGCGAAGGCGACCACCUGGGAUCAUACUGACACUGAGGUGCGAAAGCGUGGGGAGCAAACAGG